rnacentral:ncRNA from 1 species
CAACCACAACUCAUAUGGGACUACCCCCUGAAUUUAAGCAAAUUAAUUAGAGGAGGAAACGAAACUAAAAGGAUUUUCUUAGUUGCGGCGUGCGAAAAGUAAUCAGUUCAGCACUAAGUCACUUUGUCUAUAUGGCAAAUGUGAGACGCAGUGUAUGGAGCGUCAAUAUUCUAGUAUGAGAAAUUAAAGAUUUAAGUCCUUCUUAAAUGAGGCCAUUUACCCAUAAGAGGGUGCCAGGCCUAUAUAACGUUAAAGAUUACUAGAUGAUGUUUCCAAAGAGUCGUGUUGCUUGAUAGUGCAGCACUAAGUUGGUGGUAAACUCCAUCUAAAACUAAAUAUAACCAUGAGACCGAUAGUAAAGUAAGUACCGUAAGGGAAAGUUGAAAAAAACUCUGAAUAGAGUGUUAAUUAUAAAGUGAUACUGCUAAGAUGUAUAAAUGUCAUUAAUUUGAUAAAGUGUUGAUAGACUAAUAAGAAUAAAGUGCAUUAUUUUUUUUUAAUUAUAUAAUGGUUUAAUUAUCAUUGAUUUUUGUGUUUAUUAUAAGCUCUUGUAUGAUUAACAAUGCGAAAGAUUCAGGAUAACU